CUGGAUUGUGUGCCAGCAGCCGCGGUAAUACGUAUGGUGCAAGCGUUAUCCGGAUUUACUGGGUGUACAGGGAGCGCAGGCGGUGCGGCAAGUCUGAUGUGACAGCCUGGGGCUCAACCCCGGUACUGCAUUGGAAACUGUCGUACUAGAGUGUCGGAGGGGUAAGCGGAAUUCCUAGUGUAGCGGUGAAAUGCGUAGAUAUUAGGAGGAACACCAGUGGCGAAGGCGGCUUACUGGACGAUAACUGACGCUGAGGCUCGAAAGCGUGGGGAGCAAACAGG
rnacentral:rRNA from 1 species